AUCAGGAUUAAUGACUAGCAGCUGUGCACCUUAACUCGCGACGCUCUGAUUGGUCAGUGAAAGUCUCCCACAACUAUAAUCAGCUAUUUGCACGUUUAUGUAACUCAGGCUGUAGGAGGUUGCUCAUCAAAUAUGAUGGCUGGCUUGGCCUACUCAAGGUAACAACUAGUUUAUGGCUUCCUCUUUUUUUUCUCCUUUCAACUUGAUUUUUUAUUUUUUUUAAAAAACAAUUUUAUUCUGAUGUUUCUCAAUAGGCUGUGGCUACUUGUCAUACUGGCUGGUGCAAUUAAUGGAUACUUCACAAAGAAAGCUUUGGAUCCUCUUGGGGCUUCUGGUACAAACCGUUUUUAGUUCCAGUCGGGAACCUGGCCCUGGAUAUGUCGCUGAAGACUCUGCUUUCUCACGUGCGCCAAAGUGAGCUGCACAGCUUUAUACAGAUGAGCAACCUAGAUGCACUCAUCCUAGUGCUCAGAUGAGACCAGUUCCUGCUCUCUAUGGGUCGGAUGUAUAUCCAGUACAUCAAGGAUUCCCUACCUUACCAAACCAAGUUCAGUGAGCGGUCGAUCCUCCCACUCCUUUUUUUGGUAAAACUUCCCCUCUGGUUGAGUCAAGCUUUGUCUCUGAAAGUCCUGGCUACGUGAGCCCUCCAGGGCCAUUUCCCAUGUUCCAGCCAGGAGAAGCUUCUUAUGAGAAGAGGACCUACGAACAAGGAGACUAUGACUCUGAAGACAGAGGCCCUCCUCCCCAGUACCUUCCUGUCCCGCCUCUAAAUGAAUUUGCCAUUGGUAGCCCACUGGCACUGGGCACACCUGUAGAUCGACUUCAACAUGGUUAUCCUCUACUUGAGUACAUGUUGAGUAGGUUUCCACCAAUCAACUUGCCCACCGACGAAACCAAAGGCAUGACAGUGGCCACUUUGGUGAUCCUUGGUAAGGAUCACGUUACCAUACGUGUCAACUGGAAACCUACCCAAAUCGUAAAAGGUACCCUCUUCAAACUCAACAGAACAUUGAUAAGGCUGGCUACAGUGUUCACUAAUGUUGUAGCUGAGUCUCUAAUGGUGCUGAUCUGCAGGAAGACUCCCCUAAUGCCAGGGGAGUCUUCCCCUUCACCAAUCUUUCAGAAGCUCACUCUGCUGAAAGAUUGUUUAACUCUUUGGCAACCUGGAUUUUAAUUUUUCUGAAACUACUACUUGACCCUUGAUUCUGUUAA